rnacentral:lncRNA from 1 species
UUUACCAGGAAGGCUCUAGAAAGGUAUGUGUGAAAAAAUACAUAUUUCACAUAUAUGAAAUAUAAACUAAUUGCCUGAUUUAUGUUUCUUUUAUUGUAGUUUAUUUAAAGAAUGGAUCACACGUAACUUCAUAUUUACCUGUUCCUGUUACGCUUUUGAUUUUCAGGACAGGAGAGAACUGCAAGGCAACAGCGGGGACACAGGAUGAUGCAGAGCUGGUCUGGGUUAGCACACAGAAAAUACCAUCCCAACAAGGAUUAAUUGAAGAGAU